rnacentral:rRNA from 1 species
CCCCUAGACGUUCUGGGCUGCACGUGCGCUACAAUAAUACGCACAGCGAGUAUCACCGAGCUCGAAAGGGCAAGGUAAACAAUAGAAAAGGUACUGUAAUGGUUAUAGAUCCUUGUAAUUAUUGAUCUUCAACGAGGAAUUCCUAGUAAGUAUGUGUCAUCAUCACGCACUGAUUACGUCCCUGCCCUUUGUACACACCGCCCGUCGCUCCUACCGAUUGGGUGAGCCGAUGAAACUCUCGGAUGUAGGCUAUUCAUAGCCCGCAGAAGAGAUUUGAAUCGUAGCGCUUAGAGGAAGGAGAAGUCGUAACA